GCAUUUUCGUGAUUUGUGCUAUA
rnacentral:siRNA from 1 species